AUUGAACGCUGGCGGCAUGCUUUACACAUGCAAGUCGAACGGCAGCACGGGUGCUUGCACCUGGUGGCGAGUGGCGGACGGGUGAGUAAUACAUCGGAACGUGUCCAGAAGAGGGGGAUAACGCAUCGAAAGAUGUGCUAAUACCGCAUAUGCUCUGAGGAGGAAAGUAGGGGGAUCGAAAGACCUUACGCUUUUGGAGCGGCCGAUGUCUGAUUAGCUAGUUGGUGGGGUAAGGGCCUACCAAGGCGACGAUCAGUAGUUGGUCUGAGAGGACGACCAGCCACACUGGGACUGAGACACGGCCCAGACUCCUACGGGAGGCAGCAGUGGGGAAUUUUGGACAAUGGGCGCAAGCCUGAUCCAGCAAUGCCGCGUGAGUGAAG
rnacentral:rRNA from 1 species